GCCCAGGUGGCGGAAUUGGUAGACGCGCACGUUUCAGGUGCGUGUGUUUAACAGCGUGCAGGUUCGAGUCCUGUUCUGGGCACUA
rnacentral:tRNA from 2 species